rnacentral:rRNA from 1 species
CUGCCCUAUAGACGGCGAUAACCUCGGGAAACUGAGGCUAAUAGCCGAUACAGUUCACUGCCUGGAGUGGCGUGAACUCGAAACGUUCAGGCGCUAUAGGAUGUGGCUGCGGCCGAUUAGGUAGACGGUGGGGUAACGGCCCACCGUGCCCAUAAUCGGUACGGGUUGUGAGAGCAAGAGCCCGGAGACGGUAUCUGAGACAAGAUACCGGGCCCUACGGGGCGCAGCAGGCGCGAAACCUUUACACUGCACGCGAGUGCGAUAAGGGGACUCCAAGUGCGAGGGCAUAUAGUCCUCGCUUUUCACCACCGUAAGGAGGUGGUAGAAUAAGUGCUGGGCAAGACCGGUGCCAGCCGCCGCGGUAAUACCGGCAGCACGAGUGAUGACCGCUAUUAUUGGGCCUAAAGCGUCCGUAGCUGGCCACGCAAGUCUAUCGGGAAAUCUGCGCGCUUAACGCGCAGGCGUCCGGUGGAAACUGUGUGGCUUGGGACCGGAAGACCAGAGGGGUACGUCCGGGGUAGGAGUGAAAUCCCGUAAUCCUGGACGGACCACCGGUGGCGAAAGCGCCUCUGGAAGACGGAUCCGACGGUGAGGGACGAAAGCUCGGGUCACGAACCGGAUUAGAUACCCGGGUAGUCCGAGCUGUAAACGAUGUCUGCUA